rnacentral:rRNA from 1 species
CCUACGGGUGGCUGCAGUGGGGGAUAUUGCACAAUGGGGGGAACCCUGAUGCAGCGACGCCGCGUGGGUGAAGAAGGGCCUCGGCGCGUAAAGCCCUGUCAGCAGGGAAGAAAAUGACGGUACCUGUAGAAGAAGCCCCGGCUAACUACGUGACAGCAGCAGCGGUACUACGUAGGGGGCAAGCGUUAUCCGGAUUUACCGGGCGUAAAGGGGGCGCAGGCGGCGAUGCAAGCCAGGAGUGAAAGCCCGGGGCUCAACCCCGGGACUGCUGUUGGAACUGGGUGGCUGGAGUGCAGGAGGGGCAGGCGGAAUUCCUGGUGUAGCGGUGAGAUGCGUAGAUAUCAGGAGGAACACCGGUGGCGAAGGCGGCCUGCUGGACUGCAACUGACGUUGAGGCCCGAAAGCGUGGGGAGCAAACAGGAUUAGAUACCCUUGUAGUC